GAUCAUGCUCAGAUUGAACGCUGGCGGCAUGCCUUACACAUGCAAGUCGAACGGUAACAGGUCUUCGGAUGCUGACGAGUGGCGAACGGGUGAGUAAUACAUCGGAACGUGCCUAGUAGUGGGGGAUAACUACUCGAAAGAGUGGCUAAUACCGCAUGAGAUCUACGGAUGAAAGCAGGGGAUCGCAAGACCUUGUGCUACUAGAGCGGCCGAUGGCAGAUUAGG
rnacentral:rRNA from 1 species